rnacentral:rRNA from 1 species
ACACGGGGGGCGCAAGCGUUAUUCGGAAUUAUUGGGCGUAAAGGGCGUGUAGGCGGUUUUAUCGGUCAGAUGUGAAAGCCCAGGGCUCAACCCUGGACGUGCAUUUGAAACAGUAAGACUUGAGUACGGUAGAGGAAAGCGGAAUUCCUGGUGUAGAGGUGAAAUUCGUAGAUAUCAGGAGGAACACCGAGGGCGAAGGCAGCUUUCUGGACCGAAACUGACGCUGAUGCGCGAAGGCGUGGGGAGCAAACAGGAUUAGAAACCCCAGUAGUCC